rnacentral:rRNA from 1 species
CAGUAGCCGCGGUAAUACGAAGGGGGCUAGCGUUGCUCGGAAUGACUGGGCGUAAAGGGCGCGUAGGCGGCGAUCAAAGUCAGGCGUGAAAUUCCUGGGCUCAACCUGGGGGCUGCGUUUGAUACUUGAUUGCUAGAGUGGGGAAGAGGGUCGUGGAAUUCCCAGUGUAGAGGUGAAGUUCGUAGAUAUUGGGAAGAACACCAGUGGCGAAGGCGGCUCACUGGACCGACACUGACGCUGAGGCGCGAAAGCGUGGGGAGCAAACAGGAUUAGAUACCCGCGUAGUCCCUGUCUCUUAUAC